UUUUCUCUCCAAAACAAUCAACAUUCACAAAGAGUGUCUGAGAUCAGGCUCAACAAAUGAACUGAGACAAGAGAAGUUCUUCCAGUUUCCUCCGGUAGUUCAGGUUUGUGAAAUUACAACAGGAUGCAAGCAUAUGUUUUGAAGCUUCCUCUGUUGAAUAGAAAUACUUCAGACAACUGAAGCCUUUCCUAGACUUCUAUAACUUUAGAGCAAACGUUUUGAGAUAAACUGAAUAAUGUAUAUUCUCUCUAGACAUCAUAAACAUAGAGUGCAAUAUAUGUAUGAUAUGUAUCUCACUUCAACUCUUCCCUCGUAGGAGUUAAUGGCAGGUGAUAUUUAGAAAUGGCUCUGAUCAUCCUGCACAGACUGAAAAAAAUGAGCAGGGCUGUGAGGAAGUCACAAAGCAUUUUGUAUCAUCCCUGUAACAUUGAGAUCACUGUUACAUUCUGAGUUGGUGUUCACAAGAUGAGAGAAGGCUAUUUAGAGAGAAUGACUGUAUAAUCAGAAAAGAACCUGGAGUCCCCAAAGAACAGUCUGCUGUCUGGAAGCCUCAUUCCCUACCAAUGAGUGGAAAGCAGAGCUGGCUGCCUGCUGAGCAGUGAGGUGAGGAGAGAGAUGCCCCUUUUCUUCCUCCAUGGAGAGAAUACUAGCUCUCCUUUGACACUGCUGCUGAGAUGGGGACAGUGUCCAGGACUACCUCAACUUGCAAUUUGUAUAGUUAAGUAGUCACAUAUUUUAAAGGAAAAAAAUACCAGGAAGGUUCCAGAACUCCUGGUGUAAAGGAAAAUUGGACAAUGUAAGCCCUGAGGGUUUAGUCAGUAAGGCAAUUAUUUUUGAUAAAUUAACUAACAAACAAAACAGCAGUACUUUUGAAUGUCAUAGAUUUUGGUGGAUAAAUGAGGACAAGAAAGGGGGAAAAGAAAAAGAAGAAAAAAUCUGAGUUUGGCACUCUUUCACCCUGCUCCCGAAGGCUACACUGUUUUGAAGAAACUCCCCAUUGCAUGUUGUGGUUUUGUACGUAUAGGACAGAACUACAAAUGAAAAGUGACUUUCCUUUCCUUAAUGAUCCUUAAAAACAGACCAUUAAGAAUAAAGAAGUGGCUUCUUCUCCUGCCUUGCAUAUAGAAUUGGAGCCAAGGGAUCUGAUUUUUCCAUUAUGUAUCUAGAAUAUUUUAAAAAAUUUUGAAAAAUUGUCAUUUUAGCUGUUUCCUAAUGUGCAUAUAAUAAUUACCUGAUAAGGUGUUUUCUUCAGUGCUGUUAGUUUAUUUCAACAAGGUGUUUGAAGAGCCUCAGACAUUUUUCCCUUUGUUGACUCAUUAGCACCAAAGUGCCAUUUCUAAAAGGUUGUUUAUAAAAUCCCAAGAAAAACAGAAUUUGUUAUCUGCAGACAUUGAAAAGAGAUAAUUAAGAGGGGUUGUGAAUAUGUCAAAGUACUUUUUUUUUUUUUUUUUUUUUUUUGGUGGCUAUGAGAGAUCAUAAAAAAAAUUGGAAUAUGGCUAGAAAGAAGCAAAUUAUUUUUGGAUAAGAGAUGAGAAGAUUCACACUAGCAAAAUCAAAGCAUGGUCAAAGCUGCUGAAACAAACAAACAAAAAACACUUCAAACAAAAUGUCAGAAGCCUAUUCAGACACUCCAUUGGCUUACUGGGGAAAAUGCAAAUAUUUCAAAAUAGCACUGACCCAUUUAGUGUCUGUGAUAUAUCACUAUUCAUCUUUUUGAACUUACAGGUAUAAAUAGCAGUAAGAGAAAAAAGAGUGAAGUUCUAUUUCCGGUGAAUACAAUAACUCUUGGCUGGUAAAUUUUUAUCCAUGCCUUCUAUCUCAGGGCAGCUAUUGGCACAGGCUGCCCACGGUAAUGGUGGAGUAGUGGCCUCUGGAGGUUUUCAAGAGAAGGGCAGAGGUGGCACUGUCAGACAUGGAUUAGUGGUUGUGGAGUAUGGCACAAACAUUGCCUGCUGAAGAAGGGGAGAUGUCGUGCAAGACUGGAGAACGGGAUGGGGUAUAGUUUUGUCAGCUGUCCUCUGGUUGAUGACAAGAACUGCCCCUAGCAGUGCAGACCUGAUAAGGCUACAGCUGUGCCUCCAUCACAUUUAAUAAAUUGUUAUGGUGCAUUUGACCUGUGUCAGUGAAGUACACUGUAGUCCUUUCUUCUCACUGGGUGAAAAAAAACAGGGCAUGAAGUGGGACAGUGGACUUGAUGGUGAUGGGUUGGACUGGAUGAUCUUACUGAUCUUUUCCAGUCUUGAUGAUUCUAUAUAAAAAAGGCUAUUACUUCAGAAAGGUUAACAUAAAUUAAAAAUAAAUAAAUAAAUAAAUAAUCAGAGAGGUGAAAUUCAAGCUGUUUAUUCACUUAGGGAUAGUCGUUUCCUAACCUGAACUACUUGUGACAUUUUUACUUGGAUAUAGAGGGAAAAAAAAGCUGAAAAAUUAACUCCAUGUGAAAGCAAUUCUCCUUCUUGCUACACUUUAAUAAUACAGUUAGCAAAAUAUUUUGAUUUUCCUUUCUUCUGGGGAUGCCUCUGUCAGAGCAGCAGUGAGAGGGUUAAUUUGCAUGUUCCUAC